GGGCCUGUAGCUCAAUGGUUAGAGCCAACGGCUCAUAACCGUUAGGUUGGGGGUUCGAGUCCCUCCGGGCCCACCA
rnacentral:tRNA from 1 species